rnacentral:rRNA from 1 species
CGAGGGGUGCAAGCGUUGCUCGGAAUUAUUGGGCGUAAAGGGUAGGUAGGUGGUCUCAUUUGUCUGGGGUGAAAGCCUUGAGCUUAACUCAAGAAGUGCCCUAGAAACGGUGAGACUGGAGUCCUGGAGAGGGUCGUGGAAUUCCCGGUGUAGCGGUGAAAUGCGUAGAGAUCGGGAGGAACACCAGCGGCGAAGGCGGCGACCUGGACAGGUACUGACACUCAACUACGAAAGCGUGGGGAGCAAACAGGAUUAGAUACCCUGGUAGUCCACGCUGUAAACGAUGGGUACUAGGUUUGGUGGGUCUUGACCCCCGCCGAACCGGCGCUAACGCACUAAGUACCCCGCCUGGGAAGUACGGUCGCAAGACUA